rnacentral:misc_RNA from 1 species
AAGACUAUAGACCUGCGGAGUACCUGCGGAGGGAUCAUUCGUGAAGCAGGCGCUCCGUCGCCCUUCUCUACCCUUCAACCAUGUGGUCUUCUGCCAUUGCCUCGGGGGGGUUGAGGCGGCCUCGGCCGUUGGGGCCCCUCGCUGGGCCCCGCCCCCCCGCGUGCCCCUUGAUAAAGUCUUGGAGUGAUAUUUGAGUCUGAUCUGUCCGGUGGACAUAAUGAAAAUAAAACUUUUAACAAU